CUGUGUCUUCCUCCCAUUUCCACAAUGUCAGACAUUGCUGGAUGGCUGCAGCAGCUGUACACACUCUACACUGCUUGUGUUUUCUUCCCAUCUUCCGAUCCCUCUACUGACCUCUCUGGCCACUUUUUGUCAUUACAGGUAAAAAUAUAUAUAUAUACAAUCAAUAAACUUUUACGCUGUGACACUUCGGGCCAAAGGUCUUGCUACGCUGUGAUUGAUAUUAGAUGCCAGUCCUCACUCCUCUCCUUACCAUCUGAGGCUUGCCAUGCGUCCCGAUUGCGAUGUCCUUUUAAGGGGUGUGCU